UUGGGGCCCGGCUCCUGGCUGCUCCUGCCUGAAGCCACGAAGCGGGGGCAGCGCAGGGCAGGGCCCGGGGGAGCGGCGCCGAGCCCCCCGCCUCUGGCCGGCGCUCAUUAGCGAGCACCCAGCUCUCCCCCUCUUCCUCCGGCUGCGGUGAGCGCGGAGGGGGCUGUGCCUCGCCUCUCCAAAUUUAGCAAGGGCCCGCACGACAGAGGCUUCCUGUCAAUGAAGCCGGUUCCAGCGCCGCCGCUGAAUCAUAGCAGUCGCGAGGCGCCCCGGCCAGCAGGCUCCCCCAUGCUGCGGCCGGAGUGAAGGGCCGGCAAUGCGGGGAGAGACCAGCCCGGUGCCGCGCUGGAGGGAGGCGGACUUGGACUUGGAGGCGCGAUGCACCUUCGUCGGGAAGGACCAGCCCCCCGCCUGGCCCCACCUCCCGCGAGCGCAGGCCUCCCUGGGCUGGGCCCUGGCCUUCCCGCGCAGCCACCCCAGUGAGGUCUACACCCUGGGGGGGCAGCUGCCCCAUGUCCUGGGCACCCGCGACCUGCGCCACCACGACUGGAUGCGCUGUGUCUACCCUGCCGCGGGCACCACCGCCCAGAGCCCGGCGGCCUGCCAGCACGAGCGGGCCAUCUACUUCUACACGCUGGCACCCAUCCUGCCCGGCGCCGAGCUGCUCGCGUGGCCCGGCCGCGAGGUCGCCCAGCGCCUGCAGCGCCCGGCGCUGGCUGCAAAGCUUGAGCCCCAGGGGGUGGGCAAGCCCUGCCUGGAGCCGGGCGCGGAGCAGCUGGCGUCGGCGGGCACCCCGGCCUGCCACGACCUCACCGCCAAGCCCACGAAAGAGGAGGAAGAGAGGCGUACAGACGGCCGAGGGCCGGGCAGGGGCACGGGAGGCCGUGCCGUCUGGCCGUGGCCCCCGGUGUCCCACGAUGCGGCUGGAGAAGCGGCUGGUCCCGCGUGCCGAAGAGACGGGGAUGNNNNNNNNNNNCGAGGCGGGGGGGGGGGGCAGACCUCUUCCUCCUGAAGCCUCUCCAGACCCAGCUCAGAAGACACCGGGGCUCGGGGGGAGCACAGGGC
rnacentral:lncRNA from 1 species